GCCUGGGUGGCUCAGUCGGUUAAGCGUCCGACUUCAGCUCAGGUCAUGAUCUCAUGGUCCGUGGGUUCGAGCCCCGCGUCGGGCU
rnacentral:tRNA from 1 species